UACGUAGGGUGCGAGCGUUUAAUCGGAAUUACUGGGCGUAAAGGGUGCGCAGGCGGUUAUAUAAGACAGAUGUGAAAUCCCCGGGCUCAACCUGGGAACUGCGUUUGUGACUGUAUGACUAGAGUACGGUAGAGAGGGGUGGAAUUCCUGGUGUAGCAGUGAAAUGCGUAGAUAUCAGGAGGAACAUCGAUGCGAAGGCAGCCC
rnacentral:rRNA from 1 species